rnacentral:rRNA from 1 species
AACGAACGCUGGCGGCAUGCCUAACACAUGCAAGUCGAACGAGACCUUCGGGUCUAGUGGCGCACGGGUGCGUAACGCGUGGGAACCUGCCCUUAGGUUCGGAAUAACUCCCCGAAAGGGGUGCUAAUACCGGAUAAUGUCUUCGGACCAAAGAUUUAUCGCCUUUGGAUGGGCCCGCGUUGGAUUAGCUAGUUGGUAGGGUAAAAGCUUACCAAGGCGACGAUGCAUAGCUGGCCUGAGAGGAUGAUCGGCCACACUGGGACUGAGAUACGGCCCAGACUCCUACGUGACGCAGCAGUGGGGAAUGUUGCACAAUGGGCGGAAGCCUGAUGCAGCAACGCCGCGUGCGGGAUGACGGCCUGCUAGUUGUAAACCUCUUUCGCCUGUGACGAAGCGUGAGUGACGGUAAUGGAUAAAGAAACACCGGCUAACUACGUG